rnacentral:tRNA from 1 species
UGUGGCAGAAUAGUGUAGUAAACUUAAGAUUUAUUUAUAAAGUAAACUUUCUUUAGAAUAA